GCUGUUGCAUUCGUAAUCGGUGGUAUGUAGGUGCAUUUACUUUAUUUUCUUUCUGCAUUGUUUUUCCCUACUAAAAAUUGUUUUGUUUGGGGCUUGCUAUUAACAUUUGCAUUAUGUGCUUGCAGGAGCAGAGGACUAAUAUUCAGAAGGAACGCAGAAGGUUGGUCGAUGCAAGAUUAAGAGAAGUUGAAUAACGAGGUAAGUCCUUCAGCUCUUCUUUUAUUUGGUGCACCGGCCUUUUAAUGACACCAUGUUACUUUCAGCUCGUAUUAGUUGAAAUGUACAUGUUAUUUAUACCUCAUCCAUGUGGCAUACCCCCUCUUCCAAAUAAGGCUUUACAAUAUGGAACACUGCAUCUGUGCUAAUGCGUGACUUUGUUGCUGAAUAGAGAGUGAUUGCAAAAUUAAUAAGCUCUUAUGAAAUUGUAAUACGCUUCCUACAGAGAGAGAUUUUGCCCAUUUGCCAUGAUUAUCUACUGUUGUGCUACCAGACUACCAUAAUAGAGGUGGGUAAGCUCCUAGUUUAGUGUCAGGUUCUGCACAAAGGCCUAUUCGUCUGACAAACAGGCAAGGGUUGUUCCAACACUACUAGUCAUCUAGUCCCCCCUUUCCCAUUGUCCUGAAAAAAUCAUUGACAUUUGGAUACCCUUGGAUAAUUGUAUUCAACACAGUACAGUCACGGGCCCACUCACACCAUAUUGCUGCAAACACUGUAUCCCUCUGUCCCCUUACAAUCCAUAUUGCUGCUGUCCUCCUGAAGUUCUUUUCAUUGCGACUGCUUCACCAGUGUGCUGGUUUUGGUGAACGUGUUGUUGUGGGCUUGUGGCAAGUAUUUGAUUUUAGCAAGGUGAAUGGUUCGCAGCUUGGCAUGCAUCAGUGAGCAAGUAGCUGGUUUAACACACUGCUGCCAGUCUGCCGUGUAGUGAGAUCCUGAUUGUUUUCGGCGAGUACUAUGCUAGGCGGAGGUUGAUGUUAUUCAGUCUUGUGGCAUAACGGCACUCUUCCAGAUCUGUGAAAGAUACCAGUCGCCAGACUGAUCAGAAAGAUAUCAUUUCAUUGCCUCACACAAUGUAUUUGUGCUCAUUUGCUUAACACUAUUGAUUUCAUCAUGUGGCUCAUUGUAACUUGCAUUUUCUUGAGACUUCAAAAAGUUUAUUAGUACUUGUGUGUUUUGGCCUUCAAGUUUUUUAGCCUUCAGAUGCGCAAAGCUGUUCAUACUGACUGACAAGAUGAAUUUUUUUUGAAACGAACCUGGCAGGAGAGCUGCCGAUUAUGUUAAAAAGAAGAAAUCCAGACUGGAUAAAUACAAUCGAUCAAAAAUGAAAUAAGGCAAAAACUGAACCAGAAAAACAAAACAACACUAUGAACUCAAUCGCAAUCAGCAUCGCGCCAGUAAAGUGGAGAGAUGUUUCGCUCCCGCCAUAAUCCACACGGCAGCCUCGUCUUUGAUCCUCUCAAAGAUCAUGUUGACAGUAGACUCCUUACUGUUAAAUAUUCUCAUAUUCCUUUCCCUCCAGAUUGUCCAUGUAACUAGCAUGAUCAAAGUUCGCAUGCCUCUCUUAGAGCAGGAAUUUGCUCCCGAUCUCAUCGACCACCAGUGAUGCAGCGUAUCUGCUUGUUGCCAGGCCCUCGGGUGGAUUGCUGGCGCUGACAACCAGUCCACCACCAUGGCCCAGAUUCUUGUUGUGACCCGGCAUUCGGCGAAGAGGUGUAACGCUGAUUCUUGUGAUCUUCGACAUAGUGGGCAGGUAGCUUGAUUUGGCCAUCCCCUUUUCUGAAGCUUGUUAGCAGUCCAAAGCCGAUUUUGGAUUGUGAGCCAGGAGAAGGUUUUGCAGCUUCUAGGAGCCCAUAUUUUCCAAAUCAAGCUGUCAAAGUUGGUGGAUGCCGAACCAAUGAACUGUGCGUCGUAAGUGGAUUUUGCGGAGUAGCUACCAUCUGCAGUAAACUUCCAAGUGAUUUCAUCUUGGACACUCGGGCGCAGGGCUACUUGUUGUACGACUUGCCACAGAAGGAUGAAUUCUCGAAAGUGCUGUACAAAGAACCUAUUGUGGUGUAUGUUGAUAUCCUGGAUCCAUGUUCGGUUGUGAAGCGCGUCACGUAAACUCUUGUUCUUCCUUUCUGAAAUGGAGAAAAUACCUGGCGCUAUGUCCUUUGGCCUUUGGCCUUGAACCCAGGCACUAUUCCAAAAGGAAGUUUUUGCUCCAUCGCCUACGUCGAUGCGUGUACAUGCCGCAAAUAAUUUCCUAUCCGUGUUAUUACAUGGAACCUCGGAGCCCACCGAAAGCUUGUCUUCCGCUUUCCACUCAUGCCAAAGCCAUCUGAGCCUCAGUCCUCUUGCAAACUUGUAGAUGUUUAAAAUACCUUCUCCCCCCAGUCUUGUCGGCCUGGCAGACCUUCGCCAAUUCACUUCGCAUUUUCCCCUUGUUAAUGUCGCCGCCCCUGCCCAAAAGAACUUCUUGCGCUUAGCGUCGAUUUUCUUCGUCACCUCUUUGGGGGCCUCCAUUGCCGACAGGAGGUAUACCGCCUGCGAUGUUAAUACUAAUUUGGUGAGUGCUAGGAGGCCCGCCAUAGUCAUGUUCCUCGCAUUCCACGCAGUGAGCUUGCAGGUCGCCUUGUCUAUGACCAACUGGAAGUGUACUCUCUUGAGCCUUGACGUCGUUAGUGGAAGACCAAGAUAUCGCACCAGAAAGGAAGACCGUGUGAUUGGAAUGCCUCCAAAGAUGUCGUCCAUAUUGAGCUCCUCGCAUCUUAUAGGCACCACACUUGAUUUCUCGAAAUUUGUUCUCAACCCCGACGCAUCACCAAAUCUAGUGAGGAGGUCAGCUAAAGCAAUGACAUCCUGCCUAGUCGGAUUUAGGAAAAUAGCUGUGUCGUCGGCGUACAUGGAUGUUUGGAAAUUGAGGGACCUGCCUCGCAGCUUGGAUAUGAACCCUCUUUCAGUGGCCUGCUCCAAUAAAGCUCGUAGCGGUUCGAUUGCAAUCACAAAAGGUAAAGGAGAUAAAGGAUCUCCUUGCUAUAGUCCUCUGUUGUGCCUGAUGGGGCUGUUUGGGACCCCAUUGAGAAGGAUCCUAGAUGAAGAUGUGUAGAAUAGAGAGGCCAUCCAUUCCCGCCAACAAAUGGGGAAGCCCAAGCGUUGAAGUAAACCUAGCAGGUAAUCCCAUCUCACCGAAUCAAACGCUUUGGCGAUGUCAAGCUUAAAAAUUAGUGUCGCAAUUUGUUGCCGAUGGUAGCGAUGUGCCAUGCUCCUGACUGUCAUAAAAUUAUCGUGGAUGCUCCUUUGCUUGAUGAAAGCCAAUUGUGAUUGUGACACAAUGUUUUUCAUGUGCAGAGCCAGCCGCAUGGCGAGCACCUUUGUAAUAAUCUUGAUGAAUGAGUGUAUCAAGCUUAUCGGUCUGAAGUCAGGGACUGCCUCGGCCCCUUCCUUUUUUGGCAACAACACUACGUUGGCCGUGUUGAUUAAAGGCAGGCUCAUGCAACGCAAGUUAUGAAAAGCAUUGGCCGUGUUUAUUUUUUUUUUCUAGAAUACGCAGGAGAGCUGCGCAUCAUUCCAUUAAGAAGAGAUGGAAAUAAUAAUACAACGCGGGCCUAUACCGGGCACACGCACACGGGCAGUAUAACACAGUGCCGAUUACAGGAUUCUGGAGCUACCAAAGAAGACCUUAAGUCCUAACAUCACUGAGUCACAAAACACCAACCCACACUGUGGAGACAAAGCGCCCCGGCUAUGUACCAGGCCGCCGCUUCCGCCGCGACUGCAUCCGCUAGCUGCUGCGGUGUCCUUUGAAUGUUUCCGGCGAAGACCCGAUUAUUGCGCUCUUUCCAAAUGAGCCAGGAGACUAAGGUGAAAGUGGAGUCGAAUCCUCGCUUACUAGCGCCAUGAAAUCCUCGUCUCCGGAGUAACCACCAAUCCAAUAGUGAAGACCCGGCAGCUGGCAAGGAUGAGGCGUUUCCGGUCAGUUGGUCAACUACGUGCCAUACCUGCUGUGUGUAGCUGCAGGUUGCAAGCAGGUGGUCAGAGGUCUCAGACUCCUGGCAGCAUAGACAGCAAUCGUCCCAGCUUUGUAACCCAUGCUUCAUCCGACGAGCCGAUGUCCAGAGCCGCUGCCUUGUAGCAGUCCACAUGAAGAGCUUAACUCGGAGGGGAGCCCACGCUCGCCAGAUGCAUCGGAAGGCCGGAGAUUGAACAGACCCCACGAAGAAGAAAUUGUACGCUGACUUGGCCGAGUAUGAGCCUGACUUCUCCCAACGCCACACAAUCCUAUCCUCAACUCCUUCCUGUAACUGGACGUUGGAUACCGCAUGCCAUAGCUGAACAUAUUGUGCAAUUGCAGCCACUGUUAGUGUCCCGACAAUGUCCCGGAUCCAACUUUUCUCCAUGAGAGCAGACCCCACUGUUCUUGUACUUCUGACAUGAGGCUUGACCAUUAGGCACAGAUCAGGAGCAAGAAUGCAAGGAGAUAGGGAGUCCAGCCAUUGAUCCUCCCAGAAAAGUGCGGUGUUCCCACUGCCCAAUUGCACCCUGGUGGAAAUCUGGAAGGCUUUUUUCAAAGUGCUGCUCUUUUCCAGGGUGUUGGCCAAGCAUUUCCAAGGCCGCCGAUCGUCAGUCCUCUUGAACCACAACCAGCGCAAUCGCAGAGCCACCGAAGCCCGACGGAGGUCUUGGAUACCUAGGCCCCCCACUGUUUUAGGUCGGCAGGCAAUUGGCCAGGUCACAAGGCAUUGCCCACCAUUGGCAGUCGGCUUACCAGCCCACAAGAAUCCUUUCUGGAGUUUGUCAAUUUCCUGGAAGACCCAAGCUGGAAUGUCAAGAGAAAUAAGAUUAUAGGUGCAGGUGGCCGUCAGAACCGAUUGGACCACAGUCAUUCUCCCCGCCUUAUUCAUAAGCUGUGCCUUCCAGUUCGGAAUCUUGCUGGCCACCUUAUCAAUCAAAGGUUGGAACUGAUUCUUCCUAAGGCUUCGUACUGACAGUGGCAUACCAAGGUAUUGUAUAGGAAAACCUACAACUUGGGCUGGAAAGAUGCCACGGAUUCUCUCUACCUGCUGAUCACUGCAUGCAAUUGGUGCAAUGGAGCACUUCUGCAGGUUUGUACGGAGUCCAGAAGCAUUACCAAAGAAAUCCAGAAUCCCUCUGAUAGCAAUAGCAUCCUGAACCACAGGCCGUGCAAAGAUGAUCACAUCGUCAGCAUACAACGAGCACUGAUGACAAAUGGUGUUAUCUGCAGGAGGGGCGAGGACACCCAACUCAGCUGCCCUCCUGAGGAGCCGGUGCAGAACUUCCAUGACAAGUAUGAAAAGCAUCGGCGAAAGGGGGUCGCCUUGUCUCAACCCUCUAGCGUUGUCAAUUAGUCGACCGGGGGAGCCGUUGAGCAGCACUCUGGUGGUGGCCGAAGACAGCAGGACAGAGAUCCAGUCCCUCCAGUUAGUCCCAAAGCCCCUCGCUUGGAGGACUUGCAGGAGAAAUGGCCAGCACACCGUGUCAAAAGCUUUAGAGAUAUCUAACUUGAUUAGCAAACUUGGCUUUCUUUUUCUGUACAGAGUCUUCGCAGCAAGCUCAACAAACUUGAAAUUAUCAUGGAUGGAUCUUCCCUUGACAAAAGCGCUCUGAUUAACAUCCACCAAAUUGUGGAGCUCCUUGCUAAGCCGGUUAGCAAGCAACUUCGUAACUAACUUCGCAAAGCUAUGCACCAGGCUGAUAGGCCUGUAGUCAGCAGGUGAGAAGGCAUCCUGUUUUUUCGGUAUCAGUGUGAUUAGAGAGCUGUUUAACCGGCCAAACUGGAUGCAAGCCCCAUGGUAGAGCGCGUCAAAGCAUGCCAGGACGUCGCGUUUGAUCACCGGCCAAGCCGCUCUAUAGAACUCCGCGGUGAAGCCAUCCGGCCCGGGGGCACGCUCUUUAGGUAGCUCGACGAUGGUUCUCCAUAUCUCCUGUUCAGGGAAUGGAGCUUCCAGGGGAUCCAGGUCCAGUGGCAGUAGUCCCAGCGAAGCAAGGUCAAUAGCCUCAGUUCUGGAAGAAGGUGUUCCAAGGAUCAUCCUGAAGUAAUUGUAUAGAAGUAGCUCCUUUUCAUCAUGUGUGAUAGCAAUGACACCGUUGUGCUCAAGUCUAGCUAUAUGUUUCUUCCUCGUGCGGUGACUGGCAUGGAGGUAAAAUAAUUUAGUAUUGGCGUCACCCUCUUUUAGGAAGAGAAGCCUGGACCGUUGGCGUGCAAUGGUGCGCUCAAGGGAAGAGAGGCCAAGGACUUUGCAUUUGAGCUGAGCCCUCAAAUGAGCUUCAUCUGAUGAUAGGGGCCUGACCUCCUGCGCCCGGUCCAGCCACAGGAUUAGAGCUCUGGCUGUCAUGAGCUGCACUUUGACAUCACCCACUUUCCUACUGCUCCACUGCUGCAGCGCCUUGGAGGUCCUCUUAAGCCUCUGGUCAAGGGAGAUGAACGGGUCGUUUGUGGCCGUCGGCCCAUCCCAGGCCCCCUGGACAGCUGCAAGGAAACCGGGCAUUCGAACCCACCAUGGUUCGAAGUGAAAACGACGCUUGGGGAGAUAGCUGGCGUUGGACGCCAAUAAAAGUGGGCAAUGAUCCGAAAUGUCCGUUGAUAGCGCCUGAAGCGUUGCAAAGCAAUAACAAACUUCCCAAUCCACCGACACAAGAACACGAUCAAGCUGUGCCAUAACCGGAGUUUGUCGCUCAUUACUCCAUGUAUAUCUUCUGCCCUGGAGGUAGAUCUCCUUCAGGUUGACAUCAUCCACGAAGCGCCGAAAGCGGCCGAUAUUGCGACGAUUAAUGUUGGAUGUGCUUUUCUCCGAUGCUCGCAAGAUGAGGUUGAAGUCCCCCACGACAAGCCACCUGGACGAUGCCAGCGAGUGAACUAAGCGCAGUUCGUCAAGGAAUUCAACUUUUUCACCGUCUGGCUGAGGUCCGUAAACGUUAGUCAAAGUCCAAGGCGAGUCAUGGCCUUGUAUUUGAGCUGAAAUGGUUAAGGAGUGGCGUCCCCCAUGCAAACGCACACAAGAAACAUCUGGGCUUUUGCAGGCUAUCAGAAUGCCUCCUCUGGUACCUUCGGCCGGCAGAUAGUCGAACCACGAGAAGGAGCCGCCCAGCAUGCUAGCAAUCGUGAAAGGUGUGAUAGCACUCAAUUUAGUCUCCUGAAUACAAACAAUAGACGCCCUCGAGUCGGACACCAAAGAGCGCAGAGCUUCGCGACGGGAACGAGCGUUCAGACCGCGGACAUUCCACACCAGCAUAUUAAUAUUUGCAACUUCCAUUAGAAAACGUAGCCCCAGUCAGCAGGAUACAACAGUAGCGCAGCGUUAGACGCUGAUCACCUCAGAUUGGCUCACCAGGUGCCUAAGCUGGGCGUCAGUGAGACCGUUAGCCAUUGGAAGGAUGUCACGGAGUGCAGCAAAAUGCUGGGGCUGCACAGAGGACGACAGGAACUUAUCAAAGUUGCGGGGAGUGGCGCAGUUGUCAUCAGCAUCCUGGGACAGAACUCCCAAUUUCUUCAUGGCGAGGAUCUCUCCCUUACGGGAAGGGCGAACAGCAGCAUUGAGCGGUUUGGUGGCGAGCCGGUUGCUACGGCGGGGCGUCUCUUUAAUGAUGGGCGGCGCCACUUGGGUCCGGGGACAUUCUGCCAGCGGGGGAUCCAGGGGCAUUCGAACACUAUGGAGGAAGGCCUCAGUUCUCGCCCGCGCCACCACGGAGGAAGAGGGGGAUGGUGGUAACUCCAACUGUGGUUCCGAAGGCGAAGUCAUCUCCUGCGUCGGCGGCACCUGCUCAGACGGAGAGGGAUCCGCCAGCAACACCGGCGAGCGACGAGGACGCCUGGAAUACGUGCAGGGAGGGGUCGGAUGCUCCCAGGCCUGCAUAACUCCCAGCUCAUCCGAAACCGGCGACUGGUCCCUCGGCAACAAAGAUACAAUAGUAGUUUCAAGCAACAUUGGAUCAUCACGAGGCGGGGGUGAAGAAGACGAAGUGGACGGGAACAAGUCGGGUGAGAGGUCCACUGGAGGGCGCGUGUCAAGGCGACCUAGUCCCCGAUGCUCACCACCCUGCGGUGCCACAGCAGCCGGGUGUGGCGGCGACUUGCAACGUACAGGGAGGCCAAACGCGCCCACACCGGGGUCCGGCCCUCCAAGAUGAGGUACGAGUGGUUGAGGCCGAGCAGAGGCCGCCGCCGGGCGCGCCGUCACAAGGGCUUCAGGCCGCCGCAGCGUCCGGGACGGCGGCGGCGCCGAAGAGACACGCCUGGUGCCAGAGCCCGAAGCAGCGACAUCGUCUCCGCCGAAGAAGGAGCCGUCCUCGAAACCUUGCCGCGUGGGGAAGCCGUGCAGCCGCGGUCCGACUCCGCCCCCUCCAGGGGCGAAACGGUCGGGGUCGCCAUCACGAUCAGACCCCCCAUCGCUGGACGGAGGUGAAGGGGAUGGAGUCGGCGAGCGCGAGCGGAAAUCCGUGACAUGGCGAAGCCGGAUGACGAUAUCGUAAAACAGUCCUUUCUUCAGCCUUAGGUAAGGCGGAAGGUUCCCCCAAAUACUCUGCAUCAUCGGGUCGUCGUAAGAUAUCUGCUGUUCAUGCUCUGCAAUCCAGAGCCUACAUCGCUUCGGGAUGCGGGCCGGGUCGUCAGUCCAUCCCUGCACCUUCAACAUCCGCCCGUCGCCGGGAGCAGACGCCACCUGCUCCACCCAGCAACCGGGAGCAAGGAUUUUCCUCGCUGUGCGGGCGCACCAGGCGUGCGCGGGGAUGCCAUCCAGCUCCAGAGACACACGAAAGAGGCAAGAGCCGGCGUUCGCCCGGACCAGCCGUGUCCAGGGGCGGAGGGAGAAGCGGAGGUCGCCAACCUGCACGAACCGCGCAUCCAUAGCCGCGUCCCUGGCGCGCUGCGACGUGAAGGAGACCAGAAAACUCUCGGGCCAGAAUUGGCGCACCGAGAAGUUGUCGGACCCAGCCACCGGCAAUUCAGCAAUCGCGCGGCGAAAUCCCUCAAUCGGCAGAUCCGCCGGAGCACCUGGAGCCGCCGCCAGAAGAGAGAACCGCAGGCGCUCCUCCUCCGCAUCCAUAGCAGCAUCUCUAGAUAGGAAGCAGGUGACUUCCCCGGGGCGGCAAUCAGGGUGACCGGGAGGGAAGUCGUUGAAGAAGAGCUCGUUGCCGAUGUCGUCAUCAGAGGGGGUGCCAGAGCCCGACGGCCCUUCGUGAAGCGGGGGCCGCGGCGGGUUCAGCUGCAGCGAUGACGCGGUCAUGGAUCCACGCGGGUGGGAGGUAGCAUUGCCCUCCCCCGCAACCGACCGGGGGGGCGGGGCGUCCGCCGAGCGAGCUCCAGGGAGAGGCGGUGAGGGAGUGCGGCCGCCGGCGUCGCGCCCACGAGGCGUCGGAGGGGAAUCCCGCCGGGCACGCACGAAGCAGCGCUCGUCCCCAACGCCGGAGGAGGCGGAGCUGACCGGGCUGCGCGGUCGCUUGCAAUCGCGGGCGAGGUGCCAGAACCCGUGACACCGGAAGCAACGGAUGGGGCGACGACAUUGGGCAAUGAGGUGACUGAAGGAAAGGCAGUUGAGGCAUCGACCAUUGAGCUCCGGCGGGAUGCCCUUCGCCGCAGGUCGGGGAUUGAGGGCCUCCAAGAACUGGCGCUGCGCCCGGCGUUGACGCCGACGCCUCCUGGACCGGGUGCGGCGACUCUCCGCUGUAGUCCAACCCUCGUCCGCCGCAGCAUUGGGCGGAGGCAGAGGAGCGGCUGCAGAUCGAACAGCCGGGGGGGCGUGGCCUCGUGGAGGGGGCCCGGGGGCCACAGAGGUCUGGCCGCGGCGCCCAAUGGGGCGGCGGCCGGCACCUCGCGGCCCAGGGGCGACGUCCCUUGCCGGGGGAGGGAGGCACGGGGGAGGCGCGGUGGGGUGGGAUGGGGGGGGGAGCCUUGACAGGUGGGGGGGGGGGGGGCGGCGGGCUGGAUAAGAGGAUGUCGCGGUAGGACGGUCGCGGGGAUCCUCCGUAGGAGGACGAGUCAGAUCCGGACUCGUCCCUCCAUCGGACCUGCUUGCCCCGACCGCCGGAAGUCCCCCCGGGGAAGAAGGGUUCCGCGCGGGGGGAGAGCCUUCGGGACGGGGAGGGGGAUCCUCCCAAAGUGGGGCUGGUGGUCACCGGUGCCGGAGUGGCCGCCGGUGAGGGGUGGUCGUGGGGACCGGGGGCGGCGCUCAACGGGGAGCGCGGGGAGCGGAGCGAAGCGAGAGCCAUCGAUAAUGCUUGGCCGUGUUUAUGACAUCGCACUUUAUAAUCGCCCAACAGGCCUUGUAAAAUGCCCCAGUGAAGCCAUCCGGUCCCGGUGCCUUGUCCGAUGGUAUGUCUAGUAUUGCAUGUUUAAUUUCCUCCUCCGUGAAAGGUUCGGCGAGGGAGCUGAGGUCCAGACUGGGGAGAUUUAUGCUGUCCCAGUUAACGUCCUGUGAUCGUUGUCCCGUCGGUCCCAUUAUCGUAGCGAAGUGGUCUUGAAUUAUGUUGACUUUUUCUUCGUAAUUGAAGACCCAAAUGGAUCCUUGUUUUAGUCGUUGAAUGUAGUUUUUCUUCUUCCUUCCAUUAACCCUCCGAUGGAAGUAUUUGGUAUUAGCAUCACCUAAUUUGAUAUUCGUAAUGUGUGAUGCUUGUUUCCGUCUGACCCUUUCAACCACCUCUAGGCCGAGGAUUCUUCGCUUAAGUUUUUGCUGCAGGUUCAAUUCGUCCCUGGUGAGGGCUCUAUGCUCUUGCGCCAUAUCUAAUCUGAGGACGACAUCACACGCCAUGAGAAGCUACAUCUUGGCAUCCGGGUAAAAGUUGUGGCUCCAGGCUCUAAGCAUUUGGGAAGUUUCCCGUAACUUGUGAUACAGGCGGUGAAAAGUCUCGUGGUGAGCGCAGGGCUUACUCCAAGCUUCGACUACUACCUCCUUGAAGCGUGGCAAUCUCAGCCAAAACGCCUCGAACUGGAAUGUCCUUGGCCGUCAUGGUCCACUUUGAUUGGAAAGGAGUAGUGGGCAGUGAUCCAAGUGUGAUGUUGAAAGUGCAUGUAGAGCGUGGGAGGCAAAUAAGGCAUCACCUUCCGUAUUACAGAACAUUCGGUCGAGUCUGACAAGCGUCGGAUUUUGUUGCUCAUUGCUCCAUGUGAAGUGGCGGUUCUGAAGUGGAAUUUCCUUGAGCUCGCAAUCACUAAUCGCCUCCCUGAAUAGACUCAUCAUUCUAGUAUUUAGCCUAGAAUUGUUCUUGUCCGCGGCUCUGUAUAUGAGGUUAAAAUCCCCCAUAAUAAUUCACGGUGUCCCACUGGAAGGCUUAAGUGUUAGCAUUUCUUGUAAGAAGGCUCUCUUUUGCCCCUGACUGGAUGGUCCGUAGACAUUUGACAGUCUGAAGGUUUCGCCAUCAUGUAGUGAAAUAGAGGCUGAUAAGUGAAACAUCCCCACGGUAAUCUGUGAGACCUGCACUACCCUCUCAUCCCACAGUAUCAGCAGUCCUCCUCUUGUACCUGAAGCUCCUGUGGCUGGCGCGAAAGCGGUUUUGGUUAGCCUGUACCCACCCAAGUAAGACGCGGUGAAGUCAUCUAUCUGUGCAAGCUUGGUUUCCUGGAAACAUGCAAUGGCGCACGUCGUGUUGGCCACAAUCUGGUGAACUACAUCCUUACGGGCUUGCUGAUUAAGACCCCGUACAUUCCAACAUAAUACAUCAACGUCGGGGCCGAUCAUCUGAAACAGCACGGCGCUUCUCAGUGUUCUUCAGGCCUAAACGGCCGAAGCAUUCAAACCCCUGCUGACGGCCGAAAGACGCACAGAGAGUGUCACAGAGCAAUGAAGAUGACUUGCAAAAUAUCAGUUGCAACAUGUUUUGCAGCUUGAAAUUACAAGCAUAUUGAAUAAGUCUUGCAACAUGUUGAAGGCGUACAGGAAGUCUUGCAACACACAGCCACCAUCUGAACAUGUUUUGCAGCUUGAAAUUACAACCACAUUGAAUAAGUGUUGCAACAUGUUGACCUGACAAGAUGAAUCAGUAUGCUGCUGUUGGAAAAGAAAAGGACAGCAAAGUAUUUGUAGAUUAGAUUAUACCUUUUUCUGAAUAUUCACUAUCAGGCACUCGUUUAGAUGAUGUGUGCCAAUAGGUUACCAUCCCUAAUUUUCAGCACAUUAGGUUUUCAGUGCUUAAGUGGCGCUUUCCAGAAGUUGUCAGAACUCAGAAAUGACAUAUCAACUUCUGCUGGCAUUCUGAGUACGUAGUGAUUUCUCUGCUGAUAUGUCAUUUCUGAUGAAAAUAACUAUGUAUUGUGAAUAUUUUUUCAUGAUGACUAGUGGCAUGCUGCAAAUUUACGUAAUUAUCCUAUGGAGUAACGUGUGUGCGCUUUUAUGUCCAAUAGUGUUGAUUCAAUGGGUAUAAUAGUUCAUUUAACACAAUCUUCUACCCAUACCCCUUUUCCAGGUGUAAACCAACACAUGGCUACCAGUUUACCAGAAUGAGGAGGAGAUUCUUGGUUGCUGGCAAAAAUUAGCAUUCCUUCCAUUAUGCUUUUGACUCCUACAGUACCUUUGUAGUGUGUAGUACUUAAGUUACUAUUGUUGUUUACAAAUCUUUAUCUGUGUGCUGCAUUCUCGCACUGCUGAAUUGUUGCAAUGUGGAUUUUUACACAUUUAGUAUACAUUCCCUCCAUCCCAAAUUAUAAA
rnacentral:lncRNA from 1 species